rnacentral:lncRNA from 1 species
CACAAAUGCUCGCCUUACCUCCUUUUUUUUCCUUGUCAGAAGAUUUCCUCUCCAUAUGGACUAUACUUCUGAAAAAAUCUGGAGAAUUACCAUUUGCAGCUUUUUUUUCCUGGAUCACAGCCUAAGAUCGCGAAGCUAUCAGAAAAUGGAAAAAGAGGCCUGCUUUCUCAGAGGAAGUUCCACAAGAUUGUUUUUGUGAUAUAUUUUGACUUGCAGCUGCCACAGACAAC